GCGCUCACUUUAGCAGCCCAUAGACUAAAACUGGGACAACGCAGAGAAGCUUAGCGUGGCCCCUGUACAAAGAUGGCACCCAAAUUUGUGAAGUGUUCCAUAUUUUU